UUUCGCAAUGCCCGAAAGGGUGACGAAGCGACGCCGCGUGGGUGAGGAAGGCCUUCGGGUUGUAAAGCCCUGUCAGGAGUUAUGAAAUGUAAGUGCGCUAAUAUCGUGCUUAUUUGACAAAGGCUCCAAAGGAAGCCACGGCUAACUCUGUGCCAGCAGCCGCGGUAAUACAGAGGUGGCGAGCGUUGUUCGGAAUUAUUGGGCGUAAAGAGCACGUAGGUGGGUUUGCAAGUCAGAUGUGAAAGCCUUCUGUUCAACGGAAGAAUUGCAUCUGAAACUGCUAAUCUUGAGUAUAGGAGGGGAGAAUGGAACUUCUGGUGGAGCGGUGAAAUGCGUAGAUAUCAGAAGGAACGCCGGCGGCGAAAGCGAUUCUCUGGCCUAUUCCUGACACUCAGUGUGCGAAAGCUAGGGGAGCAAACGGGAUUAGAUACCCCGGUAGUCCUAGCCGUAAACGAUGGGCACUAAGUAGAGGGGUUUUA
rnacentral:rRNA from 1 species